ensembl:lncRNA
GUGUCUAUCUAGAGGUUACUUCUCUUGGAGCUCUUCUGUGAGCCUAGGACAUGGGUAAGCUCUUUAUUUCAUUUCUACUUUGUAAAGCAAUAAUCUCUCUGGUCUGCUAUCUGUAUACCUAUUUACCAUACAAUCUGUGUAUCUGUUUGCCAUACAGCAGCACAAAUUAAUCUCUUGGAACAGCCUGUGAAAACUUGAAGCCUGGUUAAUUCUAUUUGCUGAUAUUAUUGUAGGUAAAAAGUUUAUUGCCAUCUGUAGAAUUUUAAAUGCUGAAUUCUACUUAACAAUUCUAAAACAUAGUAUUGUUCAUUUAUUUUUAAAAUACGUUACAAUGAACUCUUCUGGAUUUGUAAUUAACUUAGUUUUCUAUUAGUAGUGAUGAGCUACUAAAGUGGAUUGGAGAAAUUAAAUUCUAAAAAAAAUUGUGAUGCUUCAGGGUAUCUAAUUUUUAUCUUUACCUGUGCUUAUUCCACCAGAAAGAAAAACUCUUCUAGGUUUAAAUGUGAAUUAUAAAAAGUGGUAUCAUAUUAUUCAAGAUAAAUCAGAUUAUUUUAAGUGUAUAAUGUUGUUUAGUGUAUUUUGAAUCCAGAGACUCCAGUUUUCAUUGGAUUGAAGUUACAAAAGUCAAGCACAUAUAAAACACUUGUAUAAUAAGAUGAAUCUGUUCAAAUGAGUAAUCAAAUAUAUAUGAUGGAAAGCAGCAACUGAAAAAAGGCUCUAGGUUAAAGUGAAGUUUGCUAUGAAACAGUUAAUAAUCCUGGUCUAGGACAUGCUUCUGAUCUUUUAGGGAUGCCAUUUGCAAACCUUAAAGUAAAAAGCUAAGACUAGUUUAAAAACAAUGCCAUAUUGUAAAAAACAAUGUAGCUCAUUAGAAAACAGUACAACUAUUCCAGUUUCAAUUCAAAGUAUUGUACCUUUUUUGUUGGAGGGUUGUGUUUUUUAGUUUUUUGGGUUUGCUUUUUAAUUGUCAGUGUCUUGUUUUUUUGCUGUUGUUGGUUUGUUUUUACUAAACAAUUGGAGUUAUCUAUAAUUUAGUGCAGAGAAUGUCAGUGUCUGGUAAAAUCAAGGAGUUACAUAACUAAAAGAAACAUUUGAGCCAACACAGGUCUGCUACAUGAUCAUAUGCACCAUGUGUUAGCACGUGGUGUGUUAACUGAUCUCAGUAUAAGUUUGGAUUUGGAAAAAAUACAGAGAUUGCUCUCUUCAGAAUUUGUGCUGAAGGCACUUCAAAAUGAGUGGUUACUUACAAUUAGGUCACUUGCUCAUUUCAUUAAUUAGAUUGAAAAAAAAACUGCUUUUUAGCAAUUUCAUUAUUGUUCAAAACUAAUAUUUCUUUUCACAGUAUCUCUGGGCAGAUUUCUUCAAAUACAAAAGCACCAAGAGCAUUAUAGAAAUAUUGAGGCAUUUCUCAGUAUUCUCAUAUUUAAAUAUCUGAAACAAUAUCUAAAAUUUGUCUACAGAACAUGACAAAAGACACAUACUGCCUACAUUUUCAUUAGUGUAGGCAUUGGCAUCAUUUUGGUAAUGUAUGUUUAAGUGGUACUGUGCUCAGUGAGGUUCAGUUUGUAAUUUCUGUUUAAAUGGAAAGUUGUAUUUUUAUUAAUUUAUUUUAUUUGCUCCUUAACCAUAUUUUCCAUGUAUUAUUCUCACUCCUACUUUGGUCUUAGAAAGAAGAAUGUCAGCAUGAGUUUUGUUAAACUGUAGUGAUACAGCAGAACAGGGGCCAUGAGAUCUGUACACACUAAUAAAGCACAACAAAAUGCCUUUGUAAAACUAAGACAGGACUGUCACUCUCCUAGCAGUGAUAUGCAAUAAAGACUUGAAACAGAGUUACAGAAUGUUUGAGGAUGGAAGGGAGCUUUGGACUUCAUCUGGUAUAAUUCAGAUUCAUAUAAUCUGUGGUGCACCAUUUCACAAUUUUGCCUGGGCUCUUGAGUCUUGAGGAACCACACUGAUAUUUCACCUCAUCUGUUUAUUGUUCAACAACUUUUGGCUUGCUCCUUUUAAUUAAGUAAGGAUAAAUCUGACCAGGUAAUAAUAAAUAGAAUUUCCUAAGUUUCAGUCUGGAAUAAAUUCAUAUAUUUUCUGCUUAGUGCUAUUUGCAAAUAAGUUCACAGCCAUGUUGCCAACAGAGUUCCCAUAGUCUGUUUUAUGUACAUAGCAAAGUUUCUCAGGUACUCUAUAGAACAUAGUCAGAAAAUAUUUAUGAUUUCUUGAAAACUUUUCCGAAGUCUUAUACAAGAGGUUUUAUCAACCAACAAAAUCAAUUAUGUAUGCCCUAACAUUGGUGGAUGAUUGAUCCUCUCAACACUGGUCAUGAAGGUCCAGGUGGGAUGAAAUAAGAUUGUCAUUUCUUCUUCUCCUAUUACUAUUGUUGUUUUAAAUUAAAUUUGAAAUUUAUAAUUUGCUUCCCCAAAAUAUUUUUAAUUUUAUUUAAUAUUUUUAUUUUUAUAACUGACAGCACAUGUUAAGACAAUGCGAUAUGUAGAGAUGCUAUGCUGAGCACUGAAAACAAUAGUCAGGCUGAGUGCAUUGCAAUGUGGUACUAAUGUUGUGAAAAGUAUUUUCUUAAACAUGGCUGAAAUUACAUGUGACAUCAUAUAGUUGGUAAGACAAAAAUAUGAAAAUUCCAAGAAGAAAUAAAUAAAAUAUGCCACUAACCUUCUUGCUUUUAAAUGAUUAAAUGGGUAGUUUACAACUACAAGUCCAGAAACUAAAGCUGCAGGAUAAGAAAGGGAUAGUGGUGGAAAAUGAAAAAAAAAUCUUAUUCAUGUGAGGAAAAAGGAAAACAAAAACACAUUUUUAAACUGUAGUCUUUAACAGAUUUACAAAUUACAUGAAUGACAGAAAAAGGAAAAACAGACACGUUGGCUUCUCCAAAUUUGUCUUUUCUAAAUUUCAGGCAGACUGAUUGUAGAAGAUUGUGAUAUAUCUGUAACAAGAAACCAAAAUAAUUAAUUGCACUUCUAUUACAGAUAAAAGACAAAGGAAUUUAUUAUAUUCAAGACACUUUCUUGGAAGUAGUACAGAUGUAUUUCUCUUUAUAUUUGCAUACAGGGCACUGAGCACACACCAUUAUUAUCCUGGAUUUAACCCCACUGAGCUGACAGUGGAAAGGAGAGCUGGACUGCAGGAUAAGGUGGCUUGUUGCACCCAGUUUCAGGAAAAAAAAAAAAGGGGUUUUCUUUAUUUUUUUGGAGGGGGGGUGGGGGGCUAUCUAGAUGUGCUGAUGGCUGACGCACCUGUAUAGGCACAACAAGAAGAUCUGUACAAAGGCUGGGGAGAUGGAAGAAGCAGAGCCACAGAAGACAGGGAGGCACAACAGCAAGACUAUCAAGGGCACAAGGGUAAUCUCAUCUCCAGUCUUUCUGCUAUUAAGGAGGGGAAGAGAAGGUAUCAGCUGCAGAGAGUAAAGUAUGUUCUUCUGUACUGUUCAUGCAAUCAGUAGGCAUGUGUUUAUUUUAGGGAUGUAGCUUGAGACAUGAAAACAGUGGAAGGUAAUUAUUUUUCAGCUGGGAAAUAUUAGGCUGACCUCAAGUAGCUGCAAAAUGAAUAAAAUAUGCAAUAAGGCUUUAUACUAUAAUAACCAUAACAUUACAAAAACUCACUCCUCUUUUGCUCUAGAGACUGAAUUAAAGACUGCUUUAUUGCAAAUGAUUUGCAAUAUCUAUACAUGAGAGAUUCCUGCAGUUUAAACCAUUAUACUCAAAGUCCACUGAGUCAGAACAAACUUUCUUUUUACUGUGGUAGGCAAUACACAGAAAAUGGAGGGGGAAAAAAAAAAUGAGACUUUUUUUCUCUUUUCUGAAUUAGCCCAUGUUGUCCACAGAUCACUGACAGUGCUGUUCAUAAAAUGGCAUUCCUUCUCACUAUUCUGCUUAAAAAUAGUUACUUUGGCUGUUGAAUUGCAAAGAAUAUUGGCAGUGUUACUGUCUAAAAUUUCAAGACACCUCUCCCUUUCACUGCUAGGAUGAGAAAUAAAUAGAACAGGCUGAAAACCAAACAAGAAAAAUUGGGCAGAUCUGUGUAUUUCUUUUUCCGGAGAAGCCCAAUAAUGCCAGGAUUUUUCACUUUGUCCUCUUUAAACAUUUGCCUUAAUAAUUACUUCAAGUAUUAAUAGAUAGGAAGACAGAAGAGAUUCACUUGAAUUUUAGGAGAACUCAUUUUCUUCAAAUUUUUGUUGUUCCUCUAUUAGCAGUGGAAUAGUUCAUUUUGAAUUAAAACAGUAGCAAUAAGCUCUUAUUUAAACAAGGCCAUACAGCAUGAUAUAAUUGUUUCAUUUUUACCUUAUUUUUUUUCUCAUUACUGUUCUGAUGCUACCUAUAAAACAAUGCAUGGCUGAAUUGACAUACAAUGUAAGUAAUGUCAAAUAUUGAAGAUACAUGAUGAACAGCUCAUAACUAGAAUAACUUCUUUGAAAACUUACAUUCCUGCAUACAAAAUGAAGAUGAUGUACAAGCCAGCUUUGAAAUUAAACAUGAUUUUCCUGUACUCUG